UUUAUUUAUUCAUGAGAGACAUAGAAAAAGAGGCAGAGACACAGGCAAAGGGAGAAGUAGGCUCCCAUGGGGAGCCUGAUGCCGGACUUCAUCCUGGGACCCUAGAAUAAGCCAAAGACUGGGCUCAACCACUGAGCCAUCUAGGCAUCUCUCUCUCUCUCUCUCUCUCUUUUUAAAGUAAAGACCCCCUUUGAGAAAUAUGUGAGCACAUGGAGAUCCAUUCAGCUACCUGCCCUCUAGGGUAUCUUGGGUGACUCUCAGGCUGCAACUUCUCCAGGUAUCAGAGCCCAACCAUGAGGUUGUUUUAUUGCUUGAAGCUGAGGCACAGUUUGGCUUUGAUUUCCCAGGGGUGAUGGAGAGAUGGCCAUUGGGAAAGAAACAAAUGUGAAACAAACAUGGUUUGAGUUGCACUCUUCAAACCUUAGAACUCCUACACAGAAACCUUGCCUUUCCUCUUGAAGCCCUUCUUCAGCUCUUUCUAGAACCUGGGCUUCCAAGUUCAAGAAGUGGAACAUCUUCCCGUUUAUUCUUUUCACUGAAGACCUUGGUGGUGAGAAUAGUCAGCACUGCUGUAGCUUAUUGCACAGACAGCUUUCAGAAGUCCCCUUGCCUGCUGAGGAUUUCUGUUCAGAAGGAAACUAGUGUUACACUUUUAGUGUGCUUAGGUUCAAUCCUGAUGCCAGCAGCUCCUUUUAACUGUGCUGUUAGCAAAUGUUUCUUGGAAUUUGAUUGAAUAUGAUUUUUAAUUAAGGAGUCUUUAUAAAUGUUGCUGGGCAGAGUGAUACCUCCCAGAACCAUGCAGAGAAAUGUUUUUAGCUUCAGGGCCAAAGCCAAGCAUGCUAAAUGAACUCAUGAUUGAACUGUCAUGCUUAGAGCAUUGUAGAAUUAGCAACACAUGUUUUGCUAUAUCCCCAGAUUUAAGAAGUGGUUUUGUACCUGACUUGCAUCUUCCAACAUCUUCAACAGCUUCCUCAGUCUCUGAACGUUUUGUUUUUAUCUUUGUGUCUUUGUCCCAUGCUCACCUCCGCAGGAGCCUCUUAGCUCAAGGUCCAUAUCCAUGGCUUAUGUGUGCACAUACACAGUUGAACACCCCACCAGGAGCCAGGCAAUCCUGUCACCUUGCAGACAUGUUUAAGAGGGAUACCCAGACUUUUAUUUUCAGAGCGGAACAUUAUUUUUAAAAGAUUUUAUUUAUUCAUGAGAGACAGAGAGAGAGAGAGAGGCAGAGACACAGAGGGAGAAGCAGGCUCCAUGAAGGGAGCCAGAUAUGGGACUUGACCCCAGGUCUCCAGGAUCACAUCCUGGGCUGCAGGUGGCGCUAAACCGCUGUGCCACCAGGGCUGCCCUGAACAUUAGUUUAAACAGUAUAAUGUGAUAAUCCUAACCAAUUCUCUUGGCAAACACACUGGGUUGAUGUAGCUAGGUUAUCAGAGAAGGGUGUAGAAGGCACGAGAAAAAAAGAUGAAUGUGAUGGAGGUAUUAAGACUUACCGAGACCUGAGUGCCGUUGAGACCUGAAGACUUCUUACACCACUGGUGUGCGCUCAUCCGGUGAAUAUGGAUUGACAUGUUACCUUGUGGCUACAUGGGAUGGUGAGUGCUGGCCCCUGCUCCCCACUUCCUGCAUCUCCUCGCAUCAGUUGUGUGCCCGUGGAUAGCUGCACAAGAAAGAAAAUGCAAGGUUCGCCAAAUGACCUAGAACUUUAGGGCUGCCAAGAGUUGCUCUGCAGCUGCUGGAAACCCCAUCCUGGUCCUCAUGACACAUACCCAGUUCCAGCCGGCAGUGAGUGUGAGGUUUGGAGGUCCUCUCUAGCCAGGUCAGCUAGGUGAUUUUCUGGGCCCUGUGCAAAAGGAAAGUACAGGCCCUUUUCUUCAAAAAUAAGAAAAAGGGUGUAUUUGUUUCCUCUGUGUCUCUCUCUCUCAUUAUGUCUGCAUUUGCUAUUCAGUGUCAGUCCUUUGGGACCAGGCCCUCUUGGGGACUUGGGUGCUGCUUUGCAGCUUGGCACCAGGACACAGGUCUGACGCUGACCCUACCUGCACCCAGGUCACCAUCACAGCAGAGGUGGCAGCAGGUUGGUGGGCAGGAGCAGGGAGCCGGUUGCUGACAACCCACCCUGUGAAGAUGGGGAGGUGGACCCCAUGUGAGAGCCAAGGCUCCAAGGCCCUGGCACAUCUUCCACUGACCCAUCAGAUGUUGCUUACAAAACACAAAUCCAAAAACAAGAUUAUUGAGAAAUUGAAGAUAACCCCACAUGUGGGCCCUGUGAGCAUGGACCCUGCUCAGUUACACUGGUCACCUGCCAGAGGCCAAAGGUGUUGAAGCCAAACCCAGGCAUGUGGCUGCUGGGAAGCAGGGGCUUCUGCUCAGGUACACAUUUCUCCCUCCUGCAGGUGCACACCUGGGAGUCCCUUUUACUCCUUCCCCUGUUGUUACUUCAUUCUGGAGGAAGUCCUCAGGGACCCUGGGGAUCUUAGUGCCGGAAGUUGGGUGAAGAUGGGUCCAUACAGCCUGGACAUCCUCACAUCAUUAGCAGGAGUGGACCAAGGCCCUCCAGGCUCUUUACUGCGGAGUAAAUAAACACAAAUAGCACUUCUUGUGUUAAUAUCGAUCAUCUUCUGAUCCAGCUUCCUUGAAUUAUUAAGCUAAGAGACCUCUGGGGGUGAGGAGAGGGACAGGGAGAUGUAAGGAAACCGAACUUUACCAGUCCACAGUAGCAAAGCCCUAGACCCAAUAGAAAUGCCAGGGAAAGUCUCCUGAAAACAGAUGUUUAUGUUUACCAACAAAUCCUUGGGUGAUUCCCUCCCAGCUGUGAUUCUAGCUUGCCUGUGUCCAUGGGUUCCAUGUUUGUGAUUUGUUUCUCCUUUGCUUUCUCAAGUGCAGGGACACCUGGCCUCUCUGGGCUGCCCUCUGGAAAUGUCCCCAGACUGAGUUUGUGCACACAAGCUGAUAACCCACACAGGAGCCGGAGGCUGCCCACUGCAGAGAUGCAGGGAGAGAAGCAGGGCAGGGACCAUGGCAAAUCCAUCUGGAAGGAGACAUGUGGGUUCUUGUGUGGAGUCAGUUGCCACAUUGCCUGAUUGUGGAGAUCUAGCUUCCAAUGUCACCUUUAAAGCGAGUUCAUACAGGGUAAAUCCACCUCGAAAUGUAUUCUUUCUCCCCUGAUUAAUCAAUAGCCUUGAAAGCAAUGAUUCAGUGUCACAGGGCAGCCUGGUGUGGCAGGAAGGCAAUGGCUUUGUGCAGGGCUCAGAGCAGAGUGAUUGUACUCCUGCGGUGACUGUGGCCAGGCUACUGUACCCCUGGAUUUCCUUUCCCUCUGCUGUGAAAAGAGGGGCUGGGCCUAGGUGUACUCAAGGUCCCUAAAUGUUGAAGACUCAGGACUUACGACAGAAUUACCUAAAGCCCUCUUUCUUUCAGGUUGGCUUCAAUUUAUCUUCCUCUGAUUCACAGGUAUAAAAAUUCCAUUUCUUGGGUCUCAUACACACUUGCCACACCUGGAAGCCCUGUGAAGGGAAAGUAAGGUUGACACUGAGCAGCAUGCCAAAUUUCUCAACAUUGACAACUACAGGAAGUCUGCUAUGAAGUCUGCUGCUGACAGGCCUCCAGGGUUCUAUGAGCAGGUGGAAAAGGAGGCCGGUGUGUCCCAGCAGCCCCCAGAUAUUCAUGGGGCUCCCAAGAUAGCCCUUCCCGCCUGGCUCCACUACCGGUGACCCUGCUGGGCGUGGAGAGCCUGUCACCCGAGGAGCACACCACAACCUGAGGGCCUCCAGGGCACUGAGAGCCUGGGGUCUCCCCUCAGGAUGGGAUGGCAGCCCUUAGGGCCAAGGAGGCUUCCCUGCUCCUCACGUUGUCAGCGCAAUAGUGAUCCUCUGUGUCUGUGAUGAGACCAGAGUUAUUAUGUGCAGCUAAACCAUUCCAGAUCAUCUGUUUUCUACACCUCAAGCCUCAUGAACCUUUCCUCACAGAAAACACUGAAAACUAAUGUAGUUUACUCUGGACAGCGGCUGGAAAUCCACAAACCCUGCUACGCUCCCAGCCAUGGCAGGCUCUGAGAGAGUCUGGCCUAUGUCUACACCUACAAUUGUGCAUUUGUCAUGGUGAUUCCAACAUCAGCCAGUCUACUGACAGCCAGAGAAAUGGCCUAUAAGAGGCACGUGGCUCAUUUUAUUCCUUGCAGCUUCUCAUCUGUAAAAUGGAAAAAACAAUACCUACCCCUUGGGUUUUCUAUGAGCACUAGAAGAGAUAAUCUAUGUGAAGCCCUCAGCAAGGAACCUGUCUCCACUAAAAUGCCAGCACAUGCUUGUUGUUUCUUUGGAAGACAUGGUAAAGGAGGAAGGCACCAGGAAUCCACAUGUCAGAGAGCACUUCAAUCUCACUUUCAAAUGUUCUUCUGGAAAGUCCAUCACAAUCAGGAAUAGAGAGACUACCUCCAUUCUGGAAGCAGAUUGAUCUCCUUUUCUCCUUGCAUUUUGGCUGGUCCACGGAGUAGACUUGCCCAAGGGAAGGAUGACACCUCAGUGACUCAGGAAAGCUCUUUUCCUACAUAUGGUUGAGAGCAAGUGACCAGACUCUGGAGGGACUUGGGCUUGGCUUAUCCAGUCCAUUUGAUCAUGGUUUCUGGGGAUCGGUACAGGAAGAUUAAUUUGGCAUAGAGAUCUUCCUCUAGUUCCAGUUCUCCUGUCUCUCGAACUAAAAAAAUAUCCGUGCACAACUUCAGGAUUCGAUCCACGUUUGGAAGCUCUUCAAACAUGAUGGAGUGAGAAAUUCCACUGAAGAAUUCACGGACAAACUUCCCAAUCACAAGGACCACUGAAGCAUAUAAUCCCAUGAUCCUGAAACAAAACAAAACAUUAAGUAGAAAUUGUAUCUGCCAGUGAAAUACAGUUAACAGAACACAACUAAAAGAAAAACAGUAUUUCCCUCAAACUCCAAAGAAGGUAUGAUAAACUUAUCAAAGCUUGGAGUUUUUCCCUUACAGAACUGUAAGAUCUGAAAAAUGAAAGUUAAAAAAAAAAAUCUCAAUUCUGGAGAUAACCAAUGUUAACAGUUUUCAGGGAAGAACUUCAUGUGGGUUUGCUGCAUAUAUUAUAUAAAGAAAGCACAUAAUACAUUUGAUAGAAAUGCAAUUGUAUUAUUUACACUUUUCUGCACCUAGAUCUUUAUUUUUAUAAUAUAAUUUUGCAUAGACAAUGAGUUCUUAACAGAUUUUCAUGUCUUCUUGGGGAUGUAUGUGUCCUAGAAUUUGAGCAUCAGAACACUGUGAAAUGGUAGUGUCAGACCAUUCUGGACAUUGGACCACAUCCCAAACUGUGAUGUCUAAUUGAGGCCAUGUUUGCUAAGGUUAGAAGGCAAUCUAAACAGAAAAGAGGUAAUCGUACAUCAAUUUCUAAGUUUGAACACUGAAUGGCGUUAAAUGUAACAGGAAGAUGUAGAGUGAAGAAACUGGAAAUAUGACUUCCUUGUCCUGAAGGGUGUUACUCACACCAGGCAUUUUGACUUCUUUGGGACUCUGGCUCUUCAUUUUUUAAAACAAAGGGCCAAUGACCUGUGAAUUUUAAUGGUGCAGCUGUUAAGUUCAAGAAUUCUAGGAAGAUACAAGGCUUCCCAUUGUCAAUUUUAUAUGAUACAGAGGUAGACUCCUAUAACUGUUAACUGUGACAUAAGUUCUUACCCAUAGCCAGCCAGGAACCCCAGACUCGGGGGGCUGACUUUGUCAUUGAAGACCACCAGUUCCAAGGCCUGAGCAUGCUGAUUGUAUAUUCGAUUUCCAGUCAGGUUGAGAACCCACCACUCACUGUUAGUUUUAGUUGUGUUGUCUCUGGACAAAGUGAUGGUGAUAUUCAUGAAAUUAUUUUCUGGAAGAGGAGAAAAAUGAAAUCAAGUUAGCAUGAGAAUAUUAGAAUUUAAUGCACAUAAACAGUCCUCCCUCAGAUGGCAAAACCUGGUUACUGCAAUCCAUAGCUUAUGAUGCCAGGAUAAAUAGGACACAGGGACCUGUUGUUAACAAUGGGAGUGUUGAAAGAAAAGUGGGCCCUAGGUGAGCAUAAUGUUUCUCUUUGUCACUAGACAGCUCACUGUUGCUAAGUACACAUGGCAGCCACAUCACAGGGAGAGAGAGGGAAGACCAAUCACCUAAGUAUCUUCACUGAUAAUUCCGAAGAACUAGUUAGACAUUUAAAACCCCAAAUCACUAACUUUUUAUUGAAUUGACUAAUUUAAUCCUAUGACCAGCAUUUAUUGAGUGUCUUCUAGGAGAAGGCCCUCUGUUAGGUGAUAAGGGGUUACAAAGUUGCAUACAGCAUGAUUCCAUAUCUCAAUGGGAAUAAGCCAUGUAUACAAGCACAACUAAUGGGAAUAUGGCAAGCACUGCAAGACCUGCAUUGACAAGGUCUGUUAUGGAGAGUCUACUUUUGGUUGGUAGUAUCCAUGAGGGCUUCCCAGAGGAGAUGACUUGUGAGCUGAGUUUUGUGGAGUGAGAACUUCAGUAAGUGGCGAUGGAAGGGAAGAGGAGGCUAUUUCAGGAAGACUGGAUGGCAUGAGGCUCAGUAAUGUUCUGAAAAUCCAUGAUGCGUGGUUCAUGAUUACUUUUGUUGGAGCACAGGGUCAAUAUAAAAGAACAGUUAAAGGGUGAACAAAAAGCUUGAAAUUUUUUGAGUAGGUCUUUCUAGGAAAAUGCCACCCUUGCCAAUGACAAUAGAGCCUCCACUGAGAAUCAUGGUCGUGAGCUGUAAACUCUGUGAGCAUGGAGCCAUGUCUGCAUUAUUUCCUACUCAAUUCCUGGAGCAAAGGAAUCUAGGAUAGUGCCUAGAAAUGAAUAACUAUUGGAUGGAUGGAUGGAUGGAUGGAUGGAUGGUGAGGAAGGAAACUGGUAAAGAUAAAGAAAGAAGCAUGUGAACGAUGUAGAAUGCUCAGGAACAAAAAGAACCUUGGUUCUGAAGUCUAGAGAUUUUUGAGAGGGGACAUCUGGCCCAGGGUUGAAUCUGGUUUUUCCACAUACUGGUUGUAUAGCCUCUGCUGAGCAGUUUGCACCCUGAGCCUCUGUUUCCUCCUUUGUAAACUGGUGAUAACCACUAACCUAUGCUAAAUAUGCCUUGUGGUAAAUAUCAGACAUAACUCAGGAAAGCUCAUCAGAGAAGGUGUUGUAUUGGCAGGACCUGAGAGCACCAAGACCGUGUGAUCUGGGGAAGAAGGAUUUCAUUGCCUGGACCUCAAAUGACACAGCUGACAAGCCUGUGUUCAAGGAGAACAGAACACGUAGCUGAGAAAAGGGAAACAGGGGUGAGGAGAGGCUGAGAAUCUGGGCACAAGGUGAGGCUGAUCUUGGAGGGAGGGGCCCUCCAUCUUCCUGAGGCUGAAAGGAACUGGGGAGAUUGGUGAAAACUUGAGACCCAUUGCUAGGGAAAGGGAAGCAGCUGAAGGAGUGGCCUGGCAGGUUUGCGGGGUCAUCUGCUGAGGUGGAGCAGGUGUGAAGGACCCACUGAAGGACAGAAGGGUUUCAGAGGGCAUGAUGUUGUUGAGAAAUCUGGCUCUUGGACUAAACAUUUCCAGAACUAUUUGGACUGAAAGGGAAAUACCAAAGUUGUCAAGGCAUCUUACAAUUAUCAUGUAAGACAUAAGUAUUAUUGACUGUUGAGGGAGAAAAGCAUAGAGAUGUGGGGCCCCACCCAUGCUCAUCUUCUGAACCUGCCCCUGCCUCUACUUCACGUGAUCUCCAUGGGGGCUUCUAGCUGUUUAUUUACAUCUCUAUCUUUCCAGCUAAACAUGAGCCACGCAAGGCUCUCCAGUGCCUGGCGCACUGCCUGGUGACCAUGAGCAACCCACGUUGGCAAAGGAAAGAACACGAUUUGGAUGACUGCAUUGUCCUUCUAUCUUUAACAUAUGUUCACAUCUUCUCUGAUCCAGGCAAUUGAUGAAGUCAAACAAUGCUUGAAAUAAUUAAAUUACUUAAUUAAAUAAUUACAUAACUAAAUAAUUAAUGCUUAAGAAUCCCCAAACAUCAACGUACUACUGUUGUUUUGGGUAAAUAUAGUCCUUGGAGGCUAGCACGGAUACUUGACCACCCUUGAAUUGAAUCAAGUACAUUCCCUGCUCCAUUUUUAUUGUUCUUAUUGUAGGGCCAUCAUAUUUAACAUUGCAUGAAACCAUUUUCUGCCCAAGAUAUGGAUAUUAAUAGAAAUAAGUAAACAGACUGAUUAAUCAGUAACCUAAGCUGCUAAAUGUGGAUUUGAGCCAAUCAUGUUCUAGAGUGAUGAACACAAUGAAGAAUAUGGCUUCUGGUGAUGGACUGGUUUCUUCUAGCUGUCACCACAGCUGGGAGUCUUAGGCUUCCUGUAAGCUGUGUCUCACAGGGAAAGGACACUGGAAAGCAGCUCAGGAAAGGCUGAAAAUGCAAACUGCAGGCAUUGAAUAAAGUUCUGAAACAAUUCCUUCUCAUUCUUACCAGACAAAAGUUGCUUUAUAGGUUUUGAGUUCGAAUCGCUAGGUGCUUUCACAUAAUAUGGGUAGAUCUUUUCUAUAGUCCUGUAUGUUAAGAAAAAAAAAGGGGGGGGGGGGAAGUAGUUAAGUUUUAGUUGUUUUGUCCACAUAAAAUAGAUUUUUUUGUUGUGAACUUUGACCUCAUAUCAAACAAAUAAUGGUGAGUCUCUGUACAUCUACACAAUGUGAUGUCAUCACAGUUUAUGGGUUCCAUUAUAAUCAGAAAUCUCUGAAGCCAAACAAAUCACCAGGUUCUCUUCAAAUAAUCACGCAAACUCUGUACAUGAGCUAGUUAAUGGCUUAAAAGCUGCUACAGAGAGUUUCCAUGUCUGGGACUGUUUCUGAGGCAAGGGGCUGUCUUUCCUGCUAGGAUCAAUGUCUAUGCUCUGUGUAAAUAUAUAAUUAUAUCUAUAAUCAAGUGGACUUCAUGAAUCCAUUGAGUGACAAGAGUGAGUCUCAAGGAGAGGACUGGUGGCCUGAACCUAAUCCCCCUUCUGCCAAGGACAAAUGGAGUGACCUGCUCACAUCCUUCUAGACUUGCUCUCUCAAGGGAAAAUGAUGGGGGAGGAUGUGACAAUCUUUGAGGUUCCUUCAACUUUAGUGAUUAAAAAAGGCUGUUUUAGGGAACACGUGUGAGGACUUCAGCAUGGUGGCUCUUAUACUCAAUGCAUUAGUCGGGCCAGGGCUAACUGGAGGUCAGAACCAGGCACUGGCCGGUGAAUGUCUGGAAUACUUCAUUUAGCAAUUUUGUACCAAUAGCAUUUCUUCUACUAGUUCUCAUAUUAGAAUCUAAACAUCACAUCUUGGAUUUGUUUGAAGUGAAGUACUUACUUAUAUGUCAGGAUAAUAUAUUAAGAUAAGUUUUUUUUCCCCAAGUUUCCUUUUACCCCUUGUCUUCCCCAUAUCCCCCAUCCACUAGCCAGGCAUUCAAUGACCCCAGGCCAGGAAUAAUAGUAGAAGAGGGGUCUCCCAGAGACUUUCCUUGGCUUUUGGUGAUUAUGGUCAGAUAAGAGCAAGCUUUGCUACCCAGAGACAAGAUCAGUACUUCCAGGGCAAAGUGGACAGAGAAUGGGAAAGGAGGGAAACAGAGCUGCUUUAAUGCAACACAAGUCCUCCAAGUAGAGAUUUACUUGAGUUACUGAAGAAUGAAGAAAGGUGAAUUUCCUGCAUAUGUGAAUUUGCAGAUGGAGAUUUUGUACCAGAUAUAUCCAUCUAAUAAAGCUAAUUUAC